AUACUUACCUGGCAGGGAAGACAGUAUUAUCACGAAGGUGGUUUUCCCAGGGUAAGGUUUGUCUAUAUCAUUCCGAGUGUGCUGAUCCCUGUGAGUUCCCCAAAUGUGAAAACUCCCGACUGCAUAAUUUGUGGUAGUUGGGGGAUCUGCUCUCUCAAA